GGAAUUGUUCGCAAUGGGCGCAAGCCUGACGACGCAACGCCGCGUGGAGGAUGAAGAUCUUCGGGUCGUAAACUCCUUUCGAUCGAGACGAAUUCUCCGGGGGUGAACAAUCCCCGGAGGUGACGGUACCGAGAGACGAAGCCCCGGCUAACUCCGUGCCAGCAGCCGCGGUAAUACGGGGGGGGCAAGCGUUGUUCGGAAUUACUGGGCGUAAAGGGCGCGUAGGCGGCCUGCUAAGUCACACGUGAAAUCCCUCGGCUCAACCGGGGAACUGCGUGUGAUACUGGCGGGCUCGAAUUCGGGAGAGGGAUGUGGAAUUCCAGGUGUAGCGGUGAAAUGCGUAGAUAUCUGGAGGAACACCGGUGGCGAAGGCGGCAUCCUGGACCGAGAUUGACGCUGAGGCGCGAAAGCUAGGGUAGCAAAC
rnacentral:rRNA from 1 species